rnacentral:pre_miRNA from 1 species
GAGGAGAAGAUCGAGGUGGGCUGGGGAGGGCUCUGGGGGCUUGGGCUCACAGCCCGGAUCCCAGCCCACUCAUCUUGGCCACUCUCCUU